rnacentral:rRNA from 1 species
AUUGAACGCUGGCGGCAGGCCUAACACAUGCAAGUCGAGCGGAUGAAGAGAGCUUGCUCUCUGAUUUAGCGGCGGACGGGUGAGUAAUGCCUAGGAAUCUGCCUGGGAGUGGGGGAUAACGUUCCGAAAGGAACGCUAAUACCGCGUACGUCCUACGGGAGAAAGCAGGGGACCUUCGGGCCUCGCGCUAUCAGAUGAGCCUAGGUAGGAUUAGCUAGUUGGUGAGGUAAUGGCUCACCAAGGCGACGAUCCGUAACUGGUCUGAGAGGAUGAUCAGUCACAGUGGAACUGAGACACGGUCCAGACUCCUACGGGAGGCAGCAGUGGGGAAUAUUGGACAAUGGGCGAAAGCCUGAUCCAGCCAUGCCGCGUGUGUGAAGAAGGUCUUCGGAUUGUAAAGCACUUUAAGUUGGGAGGAAGGGCAGUAAGUUAAUACCUUGCUGUUUUGACGUUACCGACAGAAUAAGCACCGGCUAACUUCGUGCCAGCCGCCGCCGUAAGAC